rnacentral:rRNA from 1 species
UACGUAGGGUGCGAGCGUUAAUCGGAAUUACUGGGCGUAAAGCGUGCGCAGGCGGUUUUGUAAGUCUGUCGUGAAAUCCCCGGGCUCAACCUGGGAACUGCAUUUGUGACUGCAUCGCUGGAGUACGGCAGAGGGGGAUGGAAUUCCGCGUGUAGCAGUGAAAUGCGUAGAUAUGCGGAGGAACACCGAUGGCGAAGGCAAUCCCCCUGG